UACGUAGGGGGCCUAGCGUUGUCCGGAUUUAUUGGGCGUAAAGAGCUCGUAGGCGGUUCGGUAAGUCAGGUGUGAAAUCUCCACGCUCAACGUGGAGGCGCCACCUGAAACUGCCGUGACUCGAGUCCGGUAGGGGAGUGUGGAAUUCCCGGUGUGAGCGGUGAAAUGCGCAGAUAUCGGGAGGAACACCAGUGGCGAAGGCGGCACUCUGGGCCGGUACUGACGCUGAGGAGCGAAAGCGUGGGGAGCGAACAGG
rnacentral:rRNA from 1 species